CCUACGGGAGGCAGCAGUGAGGAAUAUUGGUCAAUGGACGAGAGUCUGAACCAGCCAAGUAGCGUGAAGGAUGAAUGCCCUCUGGGUUGUAAAUUUCUUCUAUAAAGGAAUAAAACGAGGCACGUGUGCCUUUUUGCAUGUACUUUAUGAAUAAGGAUCGGCUCACUCCGUGCCAGCAGCCGCGGUAAUAUGGAGGGUCCGAGCGUUGUCCGGAUGUAUUGGGUUUAAAGGGAACGUAGAUGGGUUGUUAAGUCAGUUGUGAAAGUUUGCGGCUUAACCGUAAAAUUGCAAUUGAUACUGGCAGUCUUGAGUACAGUUGAGGGAGGCAGAAUUCGUGGUGUAGCGGUGAAAUGCGUAGAUAUCACGAAGAACCCCGAUUGCGAAGGCAGCUUACUAAACUGUGACUGACAUUGAUGCGCGAAAGUGUGGGUAUCAAACAGGAUUAGAUACCCUGGUAGUC
rnacentral:rRNA from 1 species